UACGUAGGGUGCGAGCGUUGUCCGGAAUUACUGGGCGUAAAGUGUGCGCAGGCGGCUGAGCAAGUCGAGUGUGAAAGCCCCGGGCUUAACUUGGGAAUUGCGCUCGAAACUACUUGGCUGGAGUGUGGCAGAGGAAGGUGGAAUUCCACGUGUAGCGGUGAAAUGCGUAGAAAUGUGGAGGAACACCAAUGGCGAAGGCAGCCUUCUGGGCCAACACUGACGCUCAUGCACGAAAGCGUGGGGAGCAAACAGG
rnacentral:rRNA from 1 species